AUUCCCCUAGUAACUGCGAGUGAAGCGGGAAAAGCUCAAAUUUAAAAUCUGGCAGUCUUUGGCUGUCCGAGUUGUAGUCUGGAGAAGCGUUUUCCGCGCUGGACCGUGUACAAGUCUCCUGGAACGGAGCGUCAUAGAGGGUGAGAAUCCCGUCUUUGACACGGACUACCAGUGCUUUGUGAUGCGCUCUCAAAGAGUCGAGUUGUUUGGGAAUGCAGCUCAAAAUGGGUGGUAAACUCCAUCUAAAGCUAAAUAUUGGCGAGAGACCGAUAGCGAACAAGUACCGUGAGGGAAAGAUGAAAAGCACUUUGGAAAGAGAGUUAAACAGUACGUGAAAUUGCUGAAAGGGAAACGCUUGAAGUCAGUCGCGUCUGCUAGAACUCAGCCUAGCCUCGGCUUGGUGCAUUUUCUAGUAGACGGGCCAGCAUCACUUUUGGUUGCGGGAUAAAGGUCGCAGGAAUGUGGCACCUUCGGGUGUGUUAUAGCCUGUGAUUGUAUACCGUGGCUGGGAGUGAGGAACUCAGCACGCUCACGCUGUGCUUAGGAUGCUGGCGUAAUGGCUUUAAACGACCCGUCUUGAAACACGGACCAAGGAGUCUAACAUGCCUGCGAGUGUUUGGGUGGAAAACCCGAGCGCGUAAUGAAAGUGAAAGUUGGGACCUCUGUCGUGGAGGGCACCGACGCCCGGACCAGACCUUCUGUGACGGAUCCGCGGUAGAGCAUGUAUGUUGGGACCCGAAAGAUGGUGAACUAUGCCUGAAUAGGGUGAAGCCAGAGGAAACUCUGGUGGAGGCUCGUAGCGAUUCUGACGUGCAAAUCGAUCGUCAAAUUUGGGUAUAGGGGCGAAAGACUAAUCGAACCAUCUAGUAGCUGGU
rnacentral:rRNA from 1 species